rnacentral:tRNA from 3 species
GGCGACGUGGCCAAGUGGUAAGGCAGAGGUUUGCAAAACCUUCAUUCGUGGGUUCGAAUCCCACCGUCGCCU